rnacentral:rRNA from 1 species
GGGGAAUAUUGCACAAUGGGGGAAACCCUGAUGCAGCAACGCCGCGUGGAGGAAGAAGGUUUUCGGAUUGUAAACUCCUGUCUUUUGGGACGAUAAUGACGGUACCAAAAGAGGAAGCCACGGCUAACUACGUGCCAGCAGCCGCGGUAAUACGUAGGUGGCGAGCGUUGUCCGGAAUUACUGGGCGUAAAGGGCGCGUAGGCGGCCUGUUAAGUCAGAUGUGAAAACCCCAGGCUCAACCUGGGGACUGCAUAUGAAACUGAUGGGCUAGAGUGUCGGAGAGGGAAGCGGAAUUCCUAGUGUAGCGGUGAAAUGCGUAGAUAUUAGGAGGAACACCAGUGGCGAAGGCGGCUUUCUGGACGAUAACUGACGCUGAGGCGCGAAAGCGUGGGGAGCAAAC